rnacentral:tRNA from 1 species
GCCCUGGUGGCUCAGUGGUUAAGUGCUCAGCUGCUAACUAAAAGGUUGGUGGUUUGAACUCACCCAAUGGCU